rnacentral:rRNA from 1 species
UACGGAGGAUGCAAGCGUUAUCCGGAUUCAUUGGGUUUAAAGGGUGCGCAGGCGGAUUGGUAAGUCAGUGGUGAAAUCCUACGGCUCAACUGUAGAACUGCCAUUGAUACUACCGAUCUUGAGUACACUUGAAGUGGGCGGAAUGUGUCAUGUAGCGGUGAAAUGCUUAGAUAUGACACAGAACACCGAUCGCGAAGGCAGCUCACUAAAUUGUAACUGACGCUCAGGCACGAAAGCGUGGGGAU